GACGAAGGAUGCAAGCGUUAUCCGGAUUCAUUGGGUUUAAAGGGUGCGUAGGCGGUCUUAUAAGUCAGUGGUGAAAUCUCUCAGCUUAACUGAGAAACUGCCAUUGAUACUGUAGGACUUGAGUACAGAUGAUGUUGGCGGAAUAUGACAUGUAGCGGUGAAAUGCAUAGAUAUGUCAUAGAACACCGAUUGCGAAGGCAGCUGACAAAACUGUAACUGACGCUGAGGCACGAAAGCGUGGGGAGCAAACAGG
rnacentral:rRNA from 1 species